AACAAAUACAAGUAUAUAUUAGAAAAUCAAAAGGUAUUGUUUUCUCGUGAGAUUGAAAGUGUUGUUGCUAUCUCUAGAAACUUAACUAAUGGCAACCAAAAACGCUUCACCUUUUAUAUUACUUUCAUUGAUGGUGUUUGCUUUGAUCCUUCUACCCAUAAUUUCAGGAACACAAUUCCAUAUGAAAAGAAAACAAUUUAUCAGAUUUUGUAAAGAUGGAUGUCCAAAUGAAAGAGACUGUGAUAAAUAUUGCAAAACUAGAGAUUGGUACGAAGGGGUUUGCCUGAAAGAAAAAGAUCUUUGUUGCUGCAAAGACGAUCCUCCUAGUCCUCCAAAUUAAGAAUAAAUGUCUCAUUUAAUAUGUAUCCUCAACUAGUUAUCUAUGAAUAAAAACCACUAGAUUUUAACCCGCGGUAUACCGCGGGGCUAUAUUUUCUUAAAAAAA